UUGGUCACCUAAACCCACCCAUUCUCUUCGAUCCACACGACCAUACGACAUUCACCCAACCUCUCUGAUCCAGGAUGUCACCGCCUCAAAAGCUAAAAUCAGAAAUUUGAUCGUGAAACCAUGUAUAUACCAAGGUACUUCGGCAGAACACUAUUUGCUGCGGCAAAUUCUGAAACUUCUGUAGCUACAACUGCUGCUGCUUCUUCAGCUGGGACGGUUUACAAUCCUCUUGAGGAGUUAAAGAGGCUGAUAGAAGCCUAGAUGAAGAAAAACCACUUGUCUAUGGUAGAUCCUGCUUCUGCUGGACUCCAGUAUGACAAAAAUUUACUGUCUAUUCACUUGAUUUGCUCUCUGGACUAGCUGAAGGUCUUGGCAGUGGGAUAGAAAGUUUGGUAAUCCCUUACUCUAUAAUUCUUUUAUUUAGCCUUACUUAGUUCAUUUCUCAAGUUGCACAUCUAUUUUUUUCAUAAAAGUGGUUGAUAAAUUUUGCCGAAGCUUUUCAAUGAGAAGAUUAUGAAAAUGUAGAUUUCUUUGAUGAUUUUCAAUGUUACGCUUUAAAACAGAAUUUUUUGUUGUUGUUUCAUUUAAUAAGAAUCUCAUCUUACACAUGAAUACUAGAUUUGUUUUUGUUGAAUGGAAACAAAAACCAGAAGCAAAACAAAACAAAACAGAACAGCAAAACAGAGAGCAAAACCCGAAGGAAGGAAAGAAAACUGCAGCUGCUGGUUUAUUGAAUGAUUCUCAGCUUUUGUGGCUUACAGCAUACCCAAGGAAAAAACAUAACAAUAUUUAUAUUAAUACUUAACCCUACCUACAUAAAACAUCAUAAAAUUAACCUAAAAGAAGUUUCUAAAACUUGGACUCUAAGAAAACUUGGACCCUAAGUAACCAAGGCCCACAAAAUAAUAACCCAAAAAAUCAAGUUUAUAUUUCAACACUCCCCCUUGAACUUAAUUCCUAUUAGACUUUUCAAUUUACCAAAGACUUCAUGCUUGAGAGGCUUAGUAAAAAUAUCGGCUACUUGAUCAUGAGUCUUCACAUACUCUAGCUGUACAUCUCCUUUGAUAACGCAUUCUCUAAUAUAAUGAUAACGAGUAUCAAUAUGCUU